UGGGGAAUAUUGCACAAUGGGCGCAAGCCUGAUGCAGCAACGCCGCGUGAACGAUGAAGGUCUUCGGAUCGUAAAGUUCUGUUGCAGGGGAAGAUAAUGACGGUACCCUGUGAGGAAGCCCCGGCUAACUACGUGCCAGCAGCCGCGGUAAUACGUAGGGGGCUAGCGUUAUCCGGAUUUACUGGGCGUAAAGGGUGUGUAGGUGGUCUUUCAAGUCGGUGGUUAAAGGCUACGGCUCAACCGUAGUUAGCCUCCGAAACUGGAAGACUUGAGUGCAGGAGAGGAAAGUGGAAUUCCCAGUGUAGCGGUGAAAUGCGUAGAUAUUGGGAGGAACACCAGUGGCGAAGGCGGCUUUCUGGACUGCAACUGACACUGAGGCACGAAAGCGUGGGUAGCAAACAGG
rnacentral:rRNA from 1 species